rnacentral:rRNA from 1 species
AAGUCGAGCGGUAACAGGCGUAGCAAUACGUGCUGACGAGCGGCGAACGGGUGCGUAAUACAUGGGAAUCUGCCCUCUGGUGGGGAAUAACCCGGCGAAAGCCGGGCUAAUGCCGCAUAAGAUCUUCGGAUGAAAGCGGGGGACCGUAAGGCCUCGCGCCGUUGGAUGAGCCCAUGUCGGAUUAGCUGGUUGGUGAGGUAACGGCUCACCAAGGCGACGAUCCGUAGCUGGUCUGAGAGGACGGCCAGCCACACUGGGACUGAGACACGGCCCAGACUCCUACGGGAGGCAGCAGUGGGGAAUAUUGGACAAUGGGGGAAACCCUGAUCCAGCGACGCCGCGUGUGUGAAGAAGGCCUGCGGGUUGUAAAGCACUUUCGAUGGGAACGAAAUGUGCCGGGCUAACACCCCGGCAAGCUGACGUUACUCAAUGAAGAAGCACCGGCUAACUCUGUGCCAGCAGCCGCGGUAAUACAGAGGGUGCGAGCGUUAAUCGGAAUUACUGGGCGUAAAGCGCACGUAGGUGGCGACGUAAGUCGGGUGUGAAAGCCCCGGGCUCAACCUGGGAAUUGCAUUCGAGACUGCAUUGCUCGAGUA